rnacentral:rRNA from 1 species
GAUGAACGCUGGCGGCGUGCCUAAUACAUGCAAGUCGAGCGAACAGAUGAGGAGCUUGCUCCUCUGACGUUAGCGGCGGAAGGGUGAGUAACACGUGGAUAACCUACCUAUAAGACUGGGAUAACUUCGGGAAACCGGAGCUAAUACCGGAUAAUAUAUUGAACCGCAUGGUUCAAUAGUGAAAGACGGUUUUGCUGUCACUUAUAGAUGGAUCCGCGCCGCAUUAGCUAGUUGGUAAGGUAACGGCUUACCAAGGCAACGAUGCGUAGCCGACCUGAGAGGGUGCUCGGCCACACUGGCACUGAGACACGGUCCAGACUCCUACGGGAGGCAGCAGUAGGGAAUCUUCCGCAAUGGGCGAAAGCCUGACGGAGCAACGCCGCGUGAGUGAGGAAGGUCUUCGGAUCGUAAAACUCUGUUAUUAGGGAAGAACAAAUGUGUAAGUAACUAUGCACGUCUUGACGGUACCUAAUCAGAAAGCCACGGCUAACUACGUG